rnacentral:tRNA from 1 species
GGGAAUUUGGCUUAGUGGUAGAGUGUUUGCCUCACAUGCAUGAAGAUCUGGGUUCAAUUCCCCAGUACCG